UACGGAGGGUGCAAGCGUUAUCCGGAUUCACUGGGUUUAAAGGGUGCGUAGGUGGGCAGGUAAGUCAGUGGAUGAAUCUCCGUAGCUUAACUCGGAAACUGCCAUUGAUACUAUCUGUCUUGAAUUAUCUGGAGGUGAGCGGAAUAUGUCAUGUAGCGGUGAAAUGCUUAGAUAUGACAUAGAACACCAAUUGCGAAGGCAGCUCACUACGGAUAUAUUGACACUGAGGCACGAAAGCGUGGGGAUCAAACAGG
rnacentral:rRNA from 1 species